UACGAAGGGUGCAAGCGUUACUCGGAAUCACUGGGCGUAAAGGGUGCGUAGGCGGGUUAUCCAGUCUCGAGUGAAAUCCAACGGCUUAACCGUUGAACUGCUUGGGAAACUGGUAGCCUAGAGUGAGGGAGAGGCAGAUGGAAUUGGUGGUGUAGGGGUAAAAUCCGUAGAGAUCACCAGGAAUACCCAUUGCGAAGGCGAUCUGCUGGAACUCAAAUGACGCGGAGGCAAGAAAGCGGGGGGAGAACACAGGCGGAGAUAACCGUGUAGUCC
rnacentral:rRNA from 1 species